rnacentral:rRNA from 1 species
UACGUAGGGUGCGAGCGUUGUCCGGAAUUACUGGGCGUAAAGAGCUCGUAGGUGGUUUUGUCGCGUCUAUCGUGAAAACCUGCGGCUUAACUGUGGGCUUGCGGUGGAUACGGGCAGACUUGAGUUCGGUAGGGGAGACUGGAAUUCCUGGUGUAGCGGUGAAAUGCGUAGAUAUCAAGAGGAACACCUGAGGUGAAGACGGGUUGCUGGGCUGACACUGACGCUGAGGCGCGAAAGCUAGGGUAGCAAACGGG